rnacentral:rRNA from 1 species
UACGUAGGGGGCGAGCGUUGUCCGGAUUCAUUGGGCGUAAAGCGCGCGCAGGCGGCCCCGAGAGCCCGGCGUGAAAGCCCCCGGCUCAACCGGGGGAGGUCGUCGGGGACCUCGGGGCUGGAGGCCGGCAGGGGCGAGCGGAAUUCCCGGUGUAGUGGUGGAAUGCGUAGAGAUCGGGAGGAACACCAGUGGCGAAGGCGGCUCGCUGGGCCGGUCCUGACGCUCAGGCGCGAAAGCGUGGGGAGCGAUCCGGAUUAGAAACCCUCGUAGUCC